rnacentral:rRNA from 1 species
GCUGGCGGCACGCCUAACACAUGCAAGUCGAACGAAGUAGCAAUACUUAGUGGCAGACGGGUGAGUAACAUGUAGGUAUCUGCCCUUUGGCCUGGAAUAACACGAGGAAACUUGUGCUAAUACCGGAUAAGUCUUUACGGAGAAAGCUUUAUGCACCAUUGGAUGAGCCUGCACUUGAUUAGUUAGUUGGUGGGGUAAUGGCCUACCAAGACUGUGAUCAAUAGCUGAUUUGAGAGGAUGAUCAGCCACAUUGGGACUGAGACACGGCCCAAACUCCUACGGGAGGCAGCAGUGGGGAAUCUUGCACAAUGGAGGAAACUCUGAUGCAGCGAUGCCGCGUGAGUGAAGAAGGCCCUUGGGUUGUAAAGCUCUUUCGUCGGGGAAGAAAAUGACUGUACCCGAAUAAGAAGGUCCGGCUAACUUCGUGCCAGCAGCCGCGGUAAUACGAAGGGACCUAGCGUAGUUCGGAAUUACUGGGCUUAAAGAGUUCGUAGGUGGUUGAAAAAGUUAGUGGUGAAAUCCCAGAGCUUAACUCUGGAACUGCCAUUAAAACUUUUCAGCUAGAGUAUGAUAGAGGAAAGCAGAAUUUCUAGUGUAGAGGUGAAAUUCGUAGAUAUUAGAAAGAAUACCAAUUGCGAAGGCAGCUUUCUGGAUCAUUACUGACACUGAGGAACGAAAGCAUGGGUAGCGAAGAGGAUUAGAUACCCUCGUAGUCCAUGCCGUAAACGAUGUGUGUUAGACGUUGGAAAUUUAUUUUCAGUGUCGCAGGGAAACCGAUAAACACACCGCCUGGGGAGUACGAC